UGGGGAAUAUUGCACAAUGGGCGGAAGCCUGAUGCAGCGACGCCGCGUGAGGGACGAAGGCCUUCGGGUUGUAAACCUCUUUCGGCCCAGACGAAGCGAAAGUGACGGUAUGGGCAGAAGAAGCGCCGGCCAACUACGUGCCAGCAGCCGCGGUAAGACGUAGGGCGCGAGCGUUGUCCGGAUUUAUUGGGCGUAAAGAGCUCGUAGGCGGCUUGUCGCGUCGACUGUGAAAACCCACGGCUCAACUGUGGGACUGCAGUCGAUACGGGCAAGCUAGAGUUCGGUAGGGGAGACUGGAAUUCCUGGUGUAGCGGUGAAAUGCGCAGAUAUCAGGAGGAACACCGGUGGCGAAGGCGGGUCUCUGGGCCGAUACUGACGCUGAGGAGCGAAAGCGUGGGGAGCGAACAGGAUUAGAUACCCCCGUAGUCC
rnacentral:rRNA from 1 species